rnacentral:rRNA from 1 species
AAGAUUAAGCCAUGCAAGUCUAAGUUCAUAUCAUCUAAAGAUGAAACUGCGAAGCGCUCAGUAUAUCAGUUAUUGUCCGUUCGGUUAUAUCCACCAGGGAUAACUGUGGUAAAUCUAGAGCUAAUACGUAGCAAAACUCGCACUUGUGCGAGUGCAUUUAUUAGACUCAACCAACUGGUGUCACCCACUCGAUGGGUGGGACCAUUUGAUGAAUCCUAAUAACUGAGCAUAUCGAACAUUAAUUUGUCGAUAGUCCGAUCGAAUUUCUGCCCUAUCAACUAGUUGGUGAGGUAGUGGCUCACCAAGGUUGUGACGGGUAACGGGGGAUCAGGGUUCGAUUCCGGAGAGGGAGCCUGAGAAACGGCUACCACAUCUAAGGAAGGCAGCAGGCGCGCAAAUUACCCAAUCCAGACUUUGGGAGGUAGUGACGAGAAAUACCGGAGUAGACCGUUAAUUGGUUCACUAUCGGAAUGAACGUAAUCUAAUACCUUCGAUGAGUAGCUACUGGAGGGCAAGUCUGGUGCCAGCAGCCGCGGUAAUUCCAGCUCCAGUAGUGUAUAUCAAAAUUGUUGCGAUUAAAAACGCUCGUAGUUGGAUUACAAAAGCUCUCUGGUGGCCAAAUCUAGGUUUGGUCAGCGUGGGGUUUUUUUUUAUCGCGAGAGCCACGCGUGGGAUUAAUUUCUUGUGUGUGGUCCACUUGCGAGGUGUGCCUUGAAUAAAGCACAGUGCUCAAAGCAGGCGAAAGCUUGAAUGUUAUAGCAUGGAACGAUUAUGUUGAUCUUGUUCAACUGUUGGUUGUUGGCAGUGGUCUCAAUUAAAGGGGACAUUUUGAGGGCGUUAGGUACUUGGGGGGCGAGGGGUUGAAAAUCCUUUAGACCCCUUCAAAGAUUUAACUAAAUGCAAAAGCC